rnacentral:rRNA from 1 species
UUCGCAAUGCCCGAAAGGGUGACGAAGCGACGCCGCGUGUGGGAAGAAGGCCUUCGGGUUGUAAACCACUGUCGGGAGUUAAGAAAUGCAAGGAUAUUAAUAGUGUCUUUGUUUGACUAAGGCUCCGGAGGAAGCCACGGCUAACUCUGUGCCAGCAGCCGCGGUAAUACAGAGGCGGCAAGCGUUGUUCGGAAUUAUUGGGCGUAAAGAGCACGUAGGCGGCUUUGCAAGUCAGUUGUGAAAGCCUUCCGCUUAAUGGAAGAACAGCAGCUGAUACUACGAAGCUUGAGUACGGGAGGGGAGAGUGGAACUUCUGGUGGAGCGGUGAAAUGCGUAGAUAUCAGAAGGAACGCCGGCGGCGAAAGCGACUCUCUGGUCCGAAACUGACGCUGAGUGUGCGAAAGCUAGGGGAGCAAACGGGAUUAGAUACCCCGGUAGUCCUAGCCCUAAACGAUGGGCACUAAGUAGAGGGGUUUU